UACGUAGGUGGCAAGCGUUAUCCGGAAUUAUUGGGCGUAAAGAGCGCGCAGGUGGUUAAUUAAGUCUGAUGUGAAAGCCCACGGCUUAAUCGUGGAGGGUCAUUGGAAACUGGUUGACCUGAGUGCAGGAGAGGAGAGUGGAAUUCCAUGUGUAGCGGUGAAAUGCGUAGAUAUAUGGAGGAACACCGGUGGCGAAAGCGGCUCUCUGGCCUGUAACUGACACUGAGGCUCGAAAGCGCGGGGAGCAAACAGG
rnacentral:rRNA from 1 species